ACGAGGGGUGCUAGCGUUGUCCGGAAUCAUUGGGCGUAAAGGGUCCGUAGGCGAUCUAACAAGUCAAUUGUUAAAUACAUCGGCUUAACCGAUGAAAUGCAGUUGAAACUGUUAGGAUAGAGUUUAGGAGAGGAAAGUGGAAUUUCUGGUGUAGCGGUGACAUGCGUAGAUAUCAGAAGGAACACCAAUGGCGAAGGCAACUUUCUGGCCUAAAACUGACGCUGAGGGACGAAAGCGUGGGGAGCGAACAGG
rnacentral:rRNA from 1 species